rnacentral:rRNA from 1 species
UACGGAGGAUGCAAGCGUUAUCCGGAUUCAUUGGGUUUAAAGGGUGCGUAGGCGGAAUAUUAAGUCAGUGAUGAAAUCCUGCAGCUUAACUGUAGAACUGUUAUUGAUACUGGUAUUCUUGAAUAUAGUUGAGGUGGGCGGAAUGUGUAAUGUAGCGGUGAAAUGCUUAGAUAUUACACAGAACACCGAUUGCGAAGGCAGCUCACUAAACUAUGAUUGACGCUGAGGCACGAAAGCGUGGGUAGCGAACAGGAUUAGAUACCCUGGUAGUCCACGCCGUAAACGAUGAUCACUCGCUGUUGGCGAUACACAGUCAGCGGCUGAGCGAAAGCAUUAAGUGAUCCACCUGGGGAGUACGAUCGCAAGAUUGAA